GCCUGGUUGGCUCAGUUGGUUAAGCGUCAGACUCUUGAUUUCAGCUCAGGUCAUGAUCUCACAGUUCGUGGGUUCGAGCCCCACAUUGGGCU
rnacentral:tRNA from 1 species